UCCCCGUUGCCGAGGCAGUCUGAUUAGAAAAAUCCAACUAAUCAUAAGGGUUGCGCUCGUUGAUGGACUUAACCAAACAUCUCACGACACGAGCUGACGACGGCCAUGCAACACCUGUCUCUGCGGCCCGAAGGCACAUUCUGGUUUCCCAGAAUUUAGCAGGAUGUCAAGCCCUGGUAAGGUUCUUCGCUUAUCAUCGAAUUAAAGAACACGCUCCACCGCUUGUGCGGGUCCCCGUCAAUUCAUUUGAGUUUUAAUCUUGCGACCGUACUCCCCAGGCGGGAUACUUAACGCGUUAGCUUCGCUACGAGAAGGGUCGAUACUCCUCACAGCUAGUAUCCAUCGUUUACGGCGUGGACUAC
rnacentral:misc_RNA from 1 species